rnacentral:tRNA from 1 species
GCGGAAAUCAGCCGGUAAUCGUAAUUUCGGCAGUCAGAGGCAAUCAACGGAAAACAGCCAAAAACGCAGCAGUGCAACCUUGCCAAGGUUGGGGUCGAGGGUUCGAAUCCCUUCGCCCGCUCCA